GACGAACGCUGGCGGCGUGCUUAACACAUGCAAGUCGAACGGUGAACGAGGGAGCUUGCUCCCUCCGGAUCAGUGGCGAACGGGUGAGUAACACGUGAGCAAUCUGCCCCGAACUCUGGGAUAAGCGUUGGAAACGACGUCUAAUACCGGAUACGACGCGGGAGGGCAUCCUCUCCGCGUGGAAAGAACUUCGGUUCGGGAUGAGCUCGCGGCCUAUCAGCUUGUUGGUGAGGUAACGGCUCACCAAGGCGACGACGGGUAGCCGGCCUGAGAGGGUGACCGGCCACACUGGGACUGAGACACGGCCCAGACGCAUACGGGAGGCAGCAGUGGGGAAUAUUGCACAAUGGGCGCAAGCCGGAUGCAGCAACGCCGCGUGAGGGACGACGGCCUUCGGGUUGUAAACCUCUUUUAGCAGGGAAGAAGCGAAAGGGACGGUACCUGCAGAAAAAGCACCGGCUAACUACGU
rnacentral:rRNA from 1 species